AAUUUUGGGUGAUUGCGGCUGGUUUGUAUCAGCUGAGGAAAGUCCAUGCUCGCACAGACUGCGAUGUCUGUAGUGUUCGUGCUCGGUGAAAAAAUAAGCCGGGGGACCAGUAAUGGUUACGGCGGGAAAAACGGCUAAGGCUUCGGCUAUGCUCGAGUAUUCCUGAAAAGUGCCACAGUGACGAAGCAAUGUUGGAAACAGCAUUGAUGGAACGCGGUAAACCCCUCGAGCGGGAAACCCAAACUUAUGGUAGGGGAGCUUCACAUAGGUAAUUGAACUGAUUGUGGGGGGAGACUUUAUGUCUCGAGAUAGAUGAUUGCCACUGCACAAUUGAGCCUGAAGAUUGUGCUUCGACAAAACAUGGCUUACAGAA
rnacentral:RNase_P_RNA from 3 species